ACGAACGCUGGCGGCGUGCUUCACCCAUGCAAGUCGAACGGAAAGGCCCUGCUUUUGUGGGGUGCUCGAGUGGCGAACGGGUGAGUAACACGUGAGUAACCUGCCCUUGACUUUGGGAUAACUUCAGGAAACUGGGGCUAAUACCGGAUAGGAGCUCCUGCUGCAUGGUGGGGGUUGGAAAGUUUCGGCGGUUGGGGAUGGACUCGCGGCUUAUCAGCUUGUUGGUGGGGUAGUGGCUUACCAAGGCUUUGACGGGUAGCCGGCCUGAGAGGGUGGCCGGCCACAUUGGGACUGAGAUACGGCCCAGACUCCUACGGGAGGCAGCAGUGGGGAAUAUUGCACAAUGGGCGGAAGCCUGAUGCAGCAACGCCGCGUGCGGGAUGACGGCCUUCGGGUUGUAAACCGCUUUCGCCUGUGACGAAGCGUGAGUGACGGUAAUGGGUAAAGAAGCACCGGCUAACUACGUG
rnacentral:rRNA from 1 species